rnacentral:rRNA from 1 species
UUAAGCGACUAAGCGUACACGGUGGAUGCCCUGGCAGUCAGAGGCGAUGAAGGACGUGCUAAUCUGCGAAAAGCGUCGGUAAGGUGAUAUGAACCGUUAUAACCGGCGAUGUCCGAAUGGGGAAACCCAGUGCAAUUCGUUGCACUAUCGUUAACUGAAUACAUAGGUUAACGAGGCGAACCGGGGGAACUGAAACAUCUAAGUACCCCGAGGAAAAGAAAUCAACCGAGAUUCCCCCAGUAGCGGCGAGCGAACGGGGAGCAGCCCAGAGUCUGAAUCAGCUUGUGUGUUAGUGGAACGGUCUGGAAAGUCCGACGGUACAGGGUGAUAGUCCCGUACACCAAAAUGCACAGGCUGUGAACUCGAAGAGUAGGGCGGGACACGUGGUAUCCUGUCUGAAUAUGGGGGGACCAUCCUCCAAGGCUAAUACUCCUGACUGACCGAUAGUGAACCAGUACCGUGAGGGAAAGGCGAAAAGAACCCCGGCGAGGGGAGUGAAAAAGAACCUGAAACCGUGUACGUACAAGCAGUGGGAGCACCUUCGGGUGUGACUGCGUACCUUUUGUAUAAUGGGUCAGCGACUUAUAUUCUGUAGCAAGGUUAACCGUAUAGGGGAGCCGCAGGGAAACCGAGUCUUAACUGGGCGUUAAGUUGCAGGGUAUAGACCCGAAACCCGGUGAUCUAGCCAUGGGCAGGUUGAAGGUUGGGUAACACUAACUGGAGGACCGAACCGACUAAUGUUGAAAAAUUAGCGGAUGACUUGUGGCUGGGGGUGAAAGGCCAAUCAAACCGGGAGAUAGCUGGUUCUCCCCGAAAGCUAUUUAGGUAGCGCCUCGUGAAUUCAUCUUCGGGGGUAGAGCACUGUUUCGGCUAGGGGGUCAUCCCGACUUACCAACCCGAUGCAAACUACGAAUACCGAAGAAUGUUAUCACGGGAGACACACGGCGGGUGCUAACGUCCGUCGUGAAGAGGGAAACAACCCAGACCGCCAGCUAAGGUCCCAAAGUCAUGGUUAAGUGGGAAACGAUGUGGGAAGGCACAGACAGCCAGGAUGUUGGCUUAGAAGCAGCCAUCAUUUAAAGAAAGCGUAAUAGCUCACUGGUCGAGUCGGCCUGCGCGGAAGAUGUAACGGGGCUAAACCAUGCACCGAAGCUGCGGCAGCGACACUAUGUGUUGUUGGGUAGGGGAGCGUUCUGUAAGCCUGCGAAGGUGUGCUGUGAGGCAUGCUGGAGGUAUCAGAAGUGCGAAUGCUGACAUAAGUAACGAUAAAGCGGGUGAAAAGCCCGCUCGCCGGAAGACCAAGGGUUCCUGUCCAACGUUAAUCGGGGCAGGGUGAGUCGACCCUAAGGCGAGGCCGAAAGGCGUAGUCGAUGGGAAACAGGUUAAUAUUCCUGUACUUGGUGUUACUGCGAAGGGGGGACGGAGAAGGCUAUGUUAGCCGGGCGACGGUUGUCCCGGUUUAAGCAUGUAGGCUGGUUGUCCAGGCAAAUCCGGAUAAUCAAGGCUGAGGUGUGAUGACGAGGCACUACGGUGCUGAAGUAACAAAUGCCCUGCUUCCAGGAAAAGCCUCUAAGCAUCAGGUAACAUCAAAUCGUACCCCAAACCGACACAGGUGGUCAGGUAGAGAAUACCAAGGCGCUUGAGAGAACUCGGGUGAAGGAACUAGGCAAAAUGGUGCCGUAACUUCGGGAGAAGGCACGCUGGUGUGUAGGUGAAGUCCCUGCGGAUGGAGCUGAGACCAGUCGAAGAUACCAGCUGGCUGCAACUGUUUAUUAAAAACACAGCACUGUGCAAACACGAAAGUGGACGUAUACGGUGUGACGCCUGCCCGGUGCCGGAAGGUUAAUUGAUGGGGUUAUCCGUAAGGAGAAGCUCUUGAUCGAAGCCCCGGUAAACGGCGGCCGUAACUAUAACGGUCCUAAGGUAGCGAAAUUCCUUGUCGGGUAAGUUCCGACCUGCACGAAUGGCGUAAUGAUGGCCAGGCUGUCUCCACCCGAGACUCAGUGAAAUUGAACUCGCUGUGAAGAUGCAGUGUACCCGCGGCAAGACGGAAAGACCCCGUGAACCUUUACUAUAGCUUGACACUGAACAUUGAGCCUUGAUGUGUAGGAUAGGUGGGAGGCUUUGAAGCGUGGACGCCAGUCUGCGUGGAGCCAACCUUGAAAUACCACCCUUUAAUGUUUGAUGUUCUAACGUUGGCCCCUUACCGGGGUUGCGGACAGUGUCUGGUGGGUAGUUUGACUGGGGCGGUCUCCUCCCAAAGCGUAACGGAGGAGCACGAAGGUUAGCUAAUCCUGGUCGGACAUCAGGAGGUUAGUGCAAUGGCAUAAGCUAGCUUGACUGCGAGCGUGACGGCGCGAGCAGGUGCGAAAGCAGGUCAUAGUGAUCCGGUGGUUCUGAAUGGAAGGGCCAUCGCUCAACGGAUAAAAGGUACUCCGGGGAUAACAGGCUGAUACCGCCCAAGAGUUCAUAUCGACGGCGGUGUUUGGCACCUCGAUGUCGGCUCAUCACAUCCUGGGGCUGAAGUAGGUCCCAAGGGUAUGGCUGUUCGCCAUUUAAAGUGGUACGCGAGCUGGGUUUAGAACGUCGUGAGACAGUUCGGUCCCUAUCUGCCGUGGGCGCUGGAGAAUUGAGGGGGGCUGCUCCUAGUACGAGAGGACCGGAGUGGACGCAUCACUGGUGUUCGGGUUGUCAUGCCAAUGGCACUGCCCGGUAGCUAAAUGCGGAAGAGAUAAGUGCUGAAAGCAUCUAAGCACGAAACUUGCCCCGAGAUGAGUUCUCCCUGAGACUUUAAGUCUCCUGAAGGAACGUUGAAGACGACGACGUUGAUAGGCCGGGUGUGUAAGCGCAGCGAUGCGUUGAGCUAACCGGUACUAAUGAACCGUGAGGCUUAACCUU